GUGGGGAAUUUUGGACAAUGGGCGCAAGCCUGAUCCAGCAAUGCCGCGUGCAGGAAGAAGGCCUUCGGGUUGUAAACUGCUUUUGUACGGAACGAAACGGUCCGGGUUAAUACCCUGGGCUAAUGACGGUACCGUAAGAAUAAGCACCGGCUAACUACGUGCCAGCAGCCGCGGUAAUACGUAGGGUGCAAGCGUUAAUCGGAAUUACUGGGCGUAAAGCGUGCGCAGGCGGUUUUGUAAGACAGGCGUGAAAUCCCCGGGCUCAACCUGGGAAUUGCGAUUGUGACUGCAAGGCUGGAGUGCGGCAGAGGGGGAUGGAAUUCCGCGUGUAGCAGUGAAAUGCGUAGAUAUGCGGAGGAACACCGAUGGCGAAGGCAAUCCCCUGGGCCUGCACUGACGCUCAUGCACGAAAGCGUGGGGAGCAAACAGGAUUAGAUACCCGGGUAGUCC
rnacentral:rRNA from 1 species